rnacentral:rRNA from 1 species
GACGAACGCUGGCGGCGUGCUUAACACAUGCAAGUCGAACGAUGAAGCCGGAGCUUGCUCUGGUGAAUUAGUGGCGAACGGGUGAGUAACACGUGAGUAACCUGCCCUUGACUCUGGGAUAACUGCUAGAAAUGGUAGCUAAUACCGGAUACGACCCUCGGAGGCAUCUCCAGGGGGUGGAAAGAAUUUCGGUCAAGGAUGGACUCGCGGCCUAUCAGCUAGUUGGUGAGGUAACGGCUAACCAAGGCGACGACGGGUAGCCGGUCUGAGAGGGUGACCGGCCACACUGGGACUGAGACACGGCCCAGACUCCUACGGGAGGCAGCAGUGGGGAAUCUUGCACAGUGGGCGCAAGCCUGAUGCAGCAACGCCGCGUGAGGGAUGACGGCCUUCGGGUUGUAAACCUCGUUUAGUAGGGAAGAAGCGAAAGUGACGGUACCUGCAGAAAAAGCACCGGCUAACUACGUGCCAGCAGCCGCAGUAA